GUUCAAAAGAGGAAAGGCUUGUGGAGGAUACCGAGGCACCCAGAGAAGAGGAAGGGUGUAGCAAAAAGCGACAAAAUGCUUUGAGGAGUUGAAAAUAAGCAUAGAUCCGGAGAUUACCAAAUAGGUUAACCUUUUAAAACUGCUUGCUGAAUCCAUGAGAAGGCAAGAGACAACCUAGCAAACUGAAACAUCUUAGUAGCCAGAGGAAAAGAAAGCAAAAGUGAUUCCCGUAGUAGCUGCGAGUGAAAUGGGAGCAGCCUAAACCGUGAAAACGGUGUUGUGGGAGAGCAAUACAAGUGUUGUGCUCCUAGGCCAAGCGGUUGAGUGUCGCACCCUAGAUGGCUAAAGUCCAGUAGCCGAAAGCAUCACUAGCUUACGCUCUGACCCGAGUAGAAUCGGGCACAUGGAAUCCCGUGUGAAUCAGCAAGGACCACCUUGCAAGGCUACAUAAUCUUGGGUGACCGAUAGCGAAGUAGUACCGUGAGGGAAAGGUGAAAAGAACCCCCAAUGGGUAGUGAAAUAGAACGUGAAACCGUGCUGAGCUCCCAAGCAGUGGGAAGGGAAAGUGAUCUCUGACCGUGUGCCUGUUGAAGAAUGAGCCGGCGACUCAUAGGCAGUGGCUUGGUUAAGGGAACGGAACCCACCGGAGCCGUAGCGAAAGCUAGUCUUAAUAGGGCGAUUGUCACUGCUUAUGGACCCGAACCUGGGUGAUCUAUCCAUGACCAGGAUGAAGCUUGGAUGAAACUAAGCAGAUGUCUAAACCGACUAAUGUUGAAGAAUCAGCGGAUGAGUUGUGGUUAGGGGUGAAAUGCCACUCGAACCCAGAGCUAGCUGGUUCUCCCCGAAAUGCGUUGAGGCGCAACAGUUGACUGGACGUCGGGGUAAAGCACUAUUUCGGUGUGGACUGCGUGAGUGGUACCAAAUCGAGGCAAACUCUGAAUACUACAUAUGACCCAAAAAUAACAGGGGGCAAGGUCAGCCAGUGAGACAAUGGGGGAUAAGCUUCAUCGUCGAGAGGGAAACAGCCCGAAUCACCAGCUAAGGCCCCUAAAUGACCACUCAGUGAUAAAGGAGGUGGGGGUGCAAAGACAUCCAUGAGGUUUGCCUAGAAGCAGCCACCCUUUAAAGAGUGUGUAAUAGCUCACUGAUCGAGCGCCCUUGCGCUGAAGAUGAACGGGGCUAAGUGAUCUACCGAAGCUAUGGGAUGUCAAAAUGCAUCAGUAGGGGAGCAUUCCGCCUUAGAGGGAAGCAACCGCGAAAGCGGGGGUCGACGAAGCGGAAGAGAGAAUGUUGGAUUGAGUAACGAAAACAUGGGUGAGAAUCCAAUGCCCGAAAACCCAAGGUUUCCUCCACAAGGUUCGUCCAUGGAGGGUGAGUCGGGGCCUAAGAUCAGGCCGAAAGGCGUAGUCGAUGGACAACAGGUCAAUAUUCAUGUACUACCCCUUGUUGGUACGGAGGGACGGAGGAGGCUAGGUUAGCCGAAAGAUGGUUAUAGGUUUAAGGACACAAGGUAACCCUGCUUUUUCAGGGUAAGAAGGGGUAGAGAAAAUGCCUUGAGCCGAGGUCCAAGUACCAAGCACUGCAACGCUGAAGUAUGAGCCCCGUGGACUAGCGAUUGCUUCUCCACGAGGCUCAUACUAGGCGCUAUGGCGCUGAAGUAUGUAACCGAUGCCAUACUCCAACGAAAAGCUCGAACGACCUUCAACAAAAAGGGUACAUGUAUGUGACGCCCCGAGACCGAUGUCCCAGGUGUCUUCCAGUUAUUCGCUGUUGUUGCCAUGUCUUUUGCUUGCGUGUUGCAUCUUAUCAUGUCAUCAUGUGCAUUGCAUCAUCAUGUUUAAAAACUUGCAUCUGUCCCGGCCUCCUCGUUCCGUCCGUUGUCCGUUAUGAGCCCAACCACACUUGCACGCGCCCGCGGCAUGUCCGAAAUAGUAUUUUUAUAAGUGGACAGAAAAUGUUCUCGGAAUGGGAUGAAAGUUGGCAUGUGGUCUUAUUAUAGUGUAGAUAGACCGCCUGUCCAGUUUCAUCGCAUUUGGAGUCCGUUUGACGCCCCAACGGAUAACUAUAGCGGCAGUAUAGCCGGUCUAACGUCGGACGUUUUCGGUCUCGGAAAACUGUUGCCGGGCUUUCCCUCCUUUCCCCUCUAGACCAUCUACACAGCCCACUACCUACCUUCAGGUCCAACCUAACCUCUCUCGUCAGCUCGCAGACCUCCUCGCGCGCGCGCCCGAAAGUUGUCCCGAAACCCGACCCGGGCAGUCGUCACCGUUGGAUCCGGAUCAUCCCCAAACAUCUACAAAACAUCUCCAUUUUGUUAAUUGGGCCCCCUAACCUAAUUAUUCGCGACCGUCCGAUUACGAUCGGAGGGACCUAGAUAACCUCAAACCUUAUCUCCUACCUAUAUAAUCGUUGUAACCCUAGACCUAGAUGUCCCAUCCAUCCCUCUCAUCUCGUCGCCGCCACCCACUCACCAUCUCCAUCGGGAUCCUCCCAGAUCCAUCCACUCCACCCAGCCGACACGACCAACUCCCUCGUUUUCAGCACAAGCCAAUCUCCUCCUCCUUCCAAUCGAUCCAACCAAGCCGCCUUGCUCUAAUCCCGCAGGAGCCCGCGCUCCUCUG
rnacentral:ncRNA from 1 species